UACGGAGGGGGCUAGCGUUGUUCGGAAUUACUGGGCGUAAAGCGCGCGUAGGCGGACCUGCAAGUCGGGGGUGAAAGCCCGAGGCUCAACCUCGGAACUGCCUUCGAUACUGCGGGUCUCGAGUCCGGGAGGGGUGAGUGGAAUUCCUAGUGUAGAGGUGAAAUUCGUAGAUAUUAGGAAGAACACCAGUGGCGAAGGCGGCUCACUGGCCCGGUACUGACGCUGAGGCGCGAAAGCGUGGGGAGCAAACAGG
rnacentral:rRNA from 1 species